UGCCACGGAAUUUUCGACCUAUAAAUACCCCCAAACCUCAUCUAUUUUAUUUCCUUAAAAUCCCCAAAUUUUGCGCCGCCAGGCUGCGCGAAUUUCUCGCCGGAGUUCCGAGCCGCCGCCGCCAUUGGAGCUCAGAACCGGAGGGCACUAGGACGCGAAGAAAACAUCGCCGAAGUUCGUCGCCGCUCGAGCCGCUUCAACCGUCCGAUCGCUGACGCUGUCCGAGGAAGAAAACACUGCUGCCAGACACACGAACGAUCACGCCAUCAACUGCAGCAUCACGUGCACGUCCUCGCCGAGACUGGAGACCAGCGAAUAGACGCCAACAUCCACGCUCGACUCGCCACUUCACCAUCGUCGACCAGAUUGCCCGGAUUGCAACGAGUGUGAUUGCGACGACUGUCUGAACACCGACCAAGGCAAGUGUCACAAACUCAAUAUCCUACUGUUUUCUAUGCAUUGGUAGUUGUUUUAUGUGCAUACUGUUUUCAAAUUGCUGGCCCUGGGAUAUUAUCAAA